rnacentral:ribozyme from 1 species
AAAGACGAAAGGGUUCGUGAGGAGGGAAAGGGGCGGUACCUUCUCUCUCCUCACUUUCCGGCCCUGAUGAGAUGCCGGCGGAUAAUGCUUGCCACUUUCA